GACAGAGGGUGCAAACGUUGUUCGGAAUUACUGGGCAUAAAGCGCACGUAGGUGGUCCGCUAAGUCGCGUGUGAAAUCCCCCGGCUCAACCGGGGAAAUGCGCGUGAUACUGGCGGGCUUGAGAUCGGGAGGGGUGAAUGGAACUCCAGGUGGAGCGGUGAAAUGCGUAGAUAUCUGGAGGAACACCGGUGGCGAAAGCGGUUCACUGGCCCGACACUGACACUGAGGUGCGAAAGCUGGGGUAGCAAACGGG
rnacentral:rRNA from 1 species